GGGCCUGUAGUUCACCCGGUAGAACGCCUGCUUUGCAAGCAGGAGGUAAGCGGUUCAAGUCCGCUCAGGUCCA
rnacentral:tRNA from 1 species